CCUACGGGAGGCAGCAGUGGGGAAUAUUGCACAAUGGGGGAAACCCUGAUGCAGCAACGCCGCGUGAGGGAGGAAGGAUUUCGGUAUGUAAAGCUCUAGCAGCAGGGAAGAGAAAAGAAGGUACCGGAAAAAGAAGCCCCGGCUAACUACGUGCCAGCAGCCGCGGUAAUACGAAGGGGGCAAGCGUUAGCCGGAUUUACUGGGUGUAAAGGGAGCGUAGACGGAAAGGAAAGUCAGAAGUGAAAACCCAAGGCUCAACCAUGGGACUGCUUUUGAAACUGUCAAACUAGAGUACGGGAGAGGUAAGUGGACUUCCUGGUGUAGCGGUGACAUGCGUAGCUCUUAGGCGG
rnacentral:rRNA from 1 species